CCCUUAGAUGUUCUGGGCCGCACGCGUGCUACACUGAUGCAUUCAACGAGUCUAAAACCCGGUCUGAUAGGGCUGGGUAAUCUUUUGAAAGUGCAUCGUGAUUGGGAUAGAUGAUUGCAAUUCUUCAUCUUCAACGAGGAAUGCCUAGUAAACGCAAGUCAUCAGCUUGCAUUGAUUACGUCCCUGCCCUUUGUACACACCGCCCGUCGCUCCUACCGAUUGAAUGAUCCGAUGAAUACCAUGGAUUGAGAGUACGAAUAGGUUCGCUUAUUUCUGCUGCUCGAGAAGUGGAGUAAAUCUUAUCAUUUAGAGGAAGGAGAAGUCGUAACA
rnacentral:rRNA from 1 species